rnacentral:rRNA from 1 species
CGAACGGGUGAGUAACACGUGAGUAACCUGCCCCCUUCUUCUGGAUAACCGCAUGAAAGUGUGGCUAAUACGGGAUAUUCUGCGCCUGCUGCAUGGUGGGUGUGGGAAAGAUAUUGUUUCGGUGGGGGAUGGGCUCGCGGCCUAUCAGCUUGUUGGUGGGGUGAUGGCCUACCAAGGCGGUGACGGGUAGCCGGCCUGAGAGGGUGGACGGUCACACUGGGACUGAGACACGGCCCAG